GAGGCUGUGGCUCAGUGGUAGAGCUCUCGCCUCGCAUGUGUGAGGUUGGGUUCCAUCCUUAGCACCA
rnacentral:tRNA from 1 species